GGAUGUGAGGGUGCUCUGGCUAUGACAUCGUCACCUGAUCAAUCAUCAUGAUUGAAUUGGCCAAUGUGGCUGGCUAGGCAGGUGUCCCUUUCCUCACUCACUGCUCCAUGUUCAUUCCUCCAGAAGCUGUGCACUCAGUUAAAGAGGAUGACCUUCCCUGAUAGAGGAUGACCUUCCUUGAUAGAGGAGGACCUUCUUUGGUCAAGGGUAUAUAAACAGCUGUGCUCCCCUGCUACAACCUCCAAACAAACUCUCAAGGUCCGUAAGUUUCCAACACAUGAAAUCUGGGGAUAUUAAAACCACAGCAUCCACCAACUAUCCAAGCCGUCCAAGUCAGAUCCUU
ensembl:misc_RNA 7SK 7SK RNA